AUGCUGUUUGCCAUUGUUCAGUUUAUUGAUGAGGAGGAUCAGCCAUUUGCAGUGGUUCCGCAAGUGUGGCUCAGCGAGGGCAUGUGCUAUUGGCCCCCAUUUAACCUCCGCAAAAAAGACAAAGGCAACAAUUUAGCCAUCCGCUGCACGCCUCCACACAGCACCUGGGAGAAACAUCAUUUUAAGUUUAUGAAGGGAGCAGAAUGUUGGCAAGAGGCGAUGAGAUAUUUGGUGCGCUUCCAAACAGGUUCUAGCGUUGAAACGACGGACGAUGACAAGAAGAGAAAGAGAAAGAGAAUCUCAAAUUCCAAGUACAGACCCCAGGCCUCUUCUGAUGAAGAGGAGUCUAGUCUUCCAGAUGCACCAGCAGUGCUGUCGUUUGGACAACCUCUUUUGAGCUUUGAAAACAUUGUUCCUGGUAACAAGGUUUCAGUGCUGCCCGAUGCUCCAGAAGUUGCAUCGAUUCCAGAAAACCAGGAAAAUGUUGUGCCAUCUGUAGACUUCAGAGGUGAACCAGGUUUCUCCCCAGAAAUUCAGACUCCACUUCACAGAGCCAAGAGUUUGAGUACAAGACACUUGACUGGUUACUCGCCGCAGCAGUUUCUGGAUGAAAGGUGUCGAGGUGUGUUGUACAUUCCAUUAGCAUUGCACAGUUCAAUUAUAGUUUCAUUACUGAAUAUGCAAUACUCUGCACUGAAGUUAAAGCUGUUAUGUUUGCUCUUCCAGCUCGUCAAGUACUAA
rnacentral:lncRNA from 1 species